rnacentral:rRNA from 1 species
AAAAACGACUCUCGGCAACGGAUAUCUCGGCUCACGCAUCGAUGAAGAACGUAGCAAAAUGCGAUACUUGGUGUGAAUUGCAGAAUCCCGUGAAUCAUCGAGUUUUUGAACGCAAGUUGCGCCCAAAACCAUCCGGUUGAGGGCGCGCCUGCCUGGGCGUCACAC